AUUACUCAUAAUAGUUGUUUGAUAUGCAUUUGAUGUCUAGCUGUUUAGUUCAUUGUGGACAUUAUCGCGCAACAUCAGCUGAUUCAGGAAAGGAUUUUCAGAAUGACUGUCAAGUGAUAAAGAGGUUGUGUGAUACUGCACGCGAUUUAACAACAGCUAAAGUGCGGGAAUUAAUGUUUAUCUUGAGGAUUGACAGAACAUUUUGGUGUCUAUGUUGUUAAGGUGGUCUAAAUAAUUAGCCUACUUCUUCGACAACAUAUCAAGAUUCGCAGGUCUUCAGCUACCCAGACCUGUCUGAUCAGCCUGGUACGGUGCCGUGGGUGUGUCCAGUUCACGCCUGUGCAAAUCUGUGUGUGUAUAGCAAUAGAAGUAAAUAUCCAAUGCCUCAAAUGUCAUGCUGUAGGUUCACCACACACCCGAAGGGUUGUGGGGUCCUGUCUAGAAACAACCCCUAGCCCUUACCCCUUACCCCUAGUGGAGAUCUGAGAGAAUUGGUCUGGUGUAAGCAAUACUGCCAAAAUUCCACCAUGCCUAUCAGAGGGUAAGGUGGAGCUCUCAGCAUGUCACCACCCAUCAAUCCCUCUCAGAUCUCCACAAGUGUCUAGAAUCUGGGCAGUAGGGGCAAGGGGUUGUUUCUGGAAAGGCCAUGAAUAUUAUGGUAGCUCAGUCAGUCAGUCUGGCACUGUCAAAAAAUGGGAAUAGCUGUCAAAUACUUGCUUCCUCUGCCCUUGGGAGAAUGUCAAUUACAUUUCCUUGAUUUGUUGAAUCCUCUUUCCUCAUCUCCUUCUCAAAACCCAUUGGAUGAGAAGGUCAGAGGUCCCUCCCCUCUCACCUUCUUAUUCAAUGGGCUUUGAGGAGGCGAGGAGAGAGGAAGUGAGGAAUGAAGGAAAUGCAAUUAAAUUCUCUUCUUGUUUCCUCCAUUCCUCACCUCCUCAAAGCUCAUUGGGGAGAGGAGGGAAGGACAGAGGAAGCAAGAAAGUGAUAGUUUACACACACACACACACACACACACACACUGCUUGAAGAGUUUACUGAUCAUAGUAAAUUAAAUAUUGGUUAUUAAUGAUUUUGUUGACAGGACCCAUUGUAUUAUUUGAUUGUAUUCAAUUAUUAUAUCAACUAUUUUUUUUCAAUUGUAUCUUUUUCAUUCUUCUGGAAUGUUUAGCAUGGCAAAAAUGAUAGAGAAGUUGACCAAUGCACAAACAGACCUGGCUGCUAAGCAUGAUAUUUAAUAUUUUGAAUGACAUGUAGAGGUUUUGUUGUUGCUAGGAGUUAUGGUCUUGUUGUGCCUAUCUAGAAUCGUAUUACUAUAAUUACACAUGUGAAGCUGCUAGAAAAUCAUAUUUAAAUGUACACUACCGGUAAAGAGUUUUAGAACACCUACUCAUUCAUUUUACAUUUACAUUUAAGUCAUUUAGCAGACACUUUUAUCCAGAGCGACUUA
rnacentral:lncRNA from 1 species